rnacentral:rRNA from 1 species
UACGUAGGGCGCAAGCGUUGUCCGGAAUUAUUGGGCGUAAAGAGCUCGUAGGCGGCUUGUCACGUCGGGUGUGAAAGCCCGGGGCUUAACCCCGGGUCUGCAUUCGAUACGGGCAGGCUAGAGUGUGGUAGGGGAGAUUGGAAUUCCUGGUGUAGCGGUGGAAUGCGCAGAUAUCAGGAAGAACGCCCGUGGCGAAAGCGGCUCUCUGGAACGGUACUGACGCUGAGACGCGAAAGCGUGGGGAGCGAACAGG